GAAGGCGCGCCCAUUGAGCCCCUGGGCGCCGGAAGAGGACGGACCUAAGGUGGCGGCGCCCCCGGGUGCCGGGAGGAGCCGCUCAUGUCGGGGAACGGAGCGGCGUGGGGGCGCGUGCGAGGUCGCCUCCGCGCCUUCCCCGAGCGCCUAGCGGCCUGUGGGGCCGAGGCCGCGGCCUACGGCAGGUGCGUGCAGGCGUCCACGGCCCCGGGCGGCCGCCUGACGAAGGACCUCUGUGCGCGGGAGUUCGAGGCCCUGCGGAGCUGCUUCGCCGCCGCGGUAGGUGGGCGCCGCCCGGGGCCUCUCCCUUGCCCCUCCGCCUGGGGAGGGACAGCGGGCCCCGUGCGUUCGGCGCCGGGCUCCAGCCGCCGCGCAGCUCGUGUGCCCGCGUGCUGAGCCGGUGAGAGUUGUGAAGAUCGCCAGCCCUGAAGUGAAGAAUCAGUGUUGCGUUACACGUUUUCAUAAAGGGUGUGGAGCAAGUAGGGUUGGAGGAGAUGCAGACUCGCGAAACCUAGAUGGGAGUUCCAGACGGAGUGAGCGGGGGGCUGCCGCGAUGCGGUCCUGGGCUGGUGCCCGAUCCGGCCAAGAAGACUCUAAGGGGAGGCUGUUAGGAUGGAUGAGCCAGCAAUGCACUUCUGUUUACUGCCUCAGGGAGCAGAGCCGGACGUCCGGUGCUGAUGGCCCCAAACGGCAGAUGUCAAAAACCUCUAAAGCCUGUAGAGCUGAAAGGACUUCGGGCGCGUCAGGGCGAGUUGUGGACAGAGGGCGAGUUGGUUUUCCUGCAUCGUGUGCCUGAGGAUUCGGGUUAGAGUAAGACAAUGAAGCAACAAUAAAGACCGUGGCAGACCACACAA